CUGAUCCAUAUGAAUUUCUCUUAUUAAGAAAAAUAAAGCAUCCAGGAUUCAAUGAAGAACUGUCUAUCACCUUGCUAAUCAUUCAGAAACAUGUUGCAGGCUUAAGCCAUUUUCGAUAUAGAUAUUGAAACAAUUACUUGCUAAGAGCAAACUUGAAGGUAUGGAUAAGGCCCUGAGUCAUCUUCCUGAACUGAAUGAUAGUUAAGCUGAAUUAACAAUUUGGACAAGACAGCAAGUGCUAUUGUCCAAGUUUUCUAAAGAAGAAUCUGAAGUGAAAUGACAUCAAGAGACCUAUCAAGACCUGUAUCCAGGAAAAG
rnacentral:lncRNA from 1 species